ACGUCCACAUUACGUUGAAACACCGGUUCCUGUACGGUCACCAAAGUUAAGCAACAUCGAACCUGGUCAGUACAUAAGAUGGGUGACCGCUUGGGAAUGCCAAGCGUAG